CCCAGAUCAUCAGCUAAGGCCCCUAAGUGUGCGCUAAGUGGGAAAGGAUGUGGAGUCGCGGUGACAACCAGGAGGUUGGCUUAGAAGCAGCCAUCCUUGAAAGAGUGCGUAAUAGCUCACUGGUCAAGUGGUUCUGCGCCGACAAUGUAGCGGGGCUCAAGCGUACCGCCGAAGCUGUGGCAACAACACGUGAUACUGGCGCCAGGAACUGGAGUGCUGGUGUGUUGUUGGGUAGGGGAGCGUCCUGCACGAGGUGAAGCCUGGAGGGAACUUCUGGUGGAUUGUGUGGGAGUGAGAAUGCAGGCAUGAGUAACGAAUCUGCGGUGAGAAUCCGCAGCGCCGAUUGACUAAGGGUUCCAGGGCUAGGUUUAUCCGCCCUGGGUUAGUCGGGUCCUAAGGCGAGGCCGACAGGCGUAGUCGAUGGACAACCAGUUGAUAUUCUGGUACCGCGUUGUGACCGCCCAUGCUGAAGUCAUUGUGCUAACCAAUUUGCUCACGCCCCCAUGAAUCCUUCGGGGUUUGUGGUGUGUGUGGGUCUUGGGGCCCCGGUGAUUGUAGGCAAGCGUGUUAACAGGGGUGACGCAGACAGGUAGCUGCAGUGCGCCGAUGGUUGUGCGUAUUUAAGGUUGUGGCCCGCCUCCCAGGCAAAUCCGGGGGACAGAUGGGUGAGAACUGAUGAGGGACGCUUUUAGAGUGGACUUGUGGUGAUCCUAAGCUGCCGAGAAAAGCCUCGACGUGAGGGCAUGACGCGCCCGUACCCUAAACCGACUCAGGUGGUCAGGUAGAGUAUACCGAGGCGUUCGAGUGAAUCGUGGUUAAGGAACUCGGCAAAAUUCCUCCGUAACUUCGGGAUAAGGAGGACCCCGUGACUUCCCCGCGCCGUGCGUGCGGGUGGGGUUGUGGGGUCGCAGAGAAUAGGGAGAAGCGACUGUUUAUCAAAAACACAGGUGCGUGCGAAGCCGUAAGGCGAUGUAUACGCACUGACGCCUGCCCGGUGCUGGAAGGUUAAGAGGAACCGUCAACACCCCCCGGGGUGUGAAGCGGUGAAUUUAAGCCCCAGUAAACGGCGGUGGUAACUAUAACCAUCCUAAGGUAGCGAAAUUCCUUGUCGGGUAAGUUCCGACCUGCACGAAUGGCGUAACGACUUCUCCGCUGUCUCAACCGCGAACUCGGUGAAAUUGCAGUACGAGUAAAGAUGCUCGUUUCGCGCAGAAGGACGGAAAGACCCCGGGACCUUUACUAUAGCUUGGUAUUGGUGUUCGCUUGGACUUGUGUAGGAUAGGUGGGAGACUGUGAAGCUGCCGCGCCAGCGGUGGUGGAGUCGUCGUUGAAAUACCAUUCUGGUUCAAGCGGUCACCUCAACCUUGGCCCGUGAUCCGGGUUGGGGACAGUGCCUGGUGGGUAGUUUAACUGGGGCGGUUGCCUCCUAAAAUGUAACGGAGGCGCUCAAAGGUUCCCUCAGCCUGGUUGGUAAUCAGGUGGCGAGUGCAAGUGUACAAGGGAGCUUGACUGUGAGACCGACGGGUCGAGCAGGUGCGAAAGCAGGAACUAGUGAUCCGGCCAUGGCACGUGGGUGCGUGGUCGCUCAACGGAUAAAAGGUACCCCGGGGAUAACAGGCUGAUCUUGCCCAAGAGUCCAUAUCGACGGCAUGGUUUGGCACCUCGAUGUCGGCUCGUCGCAUCCUGGGGCUGGAGUUGGUCCCAAGGGUUGGGCUGUUCGCCCAUUAAAGCGGUACGCGAGCUGGGUUCAGAACGUCGUGAGACAGUUCGGUCCCUAUCCUCUGUGCGCGUAGGAAACUUGAAAAGGGCCGUCCCUAGUACGAGAGGACCGGGAUGGACGAACCUCUGGUGUGCCAGUUGUACCGCCAGGUGCAUGGCUGGUUGGCUACGUUCGGAAGGGAUAACCGCUGAAAGCAUCUAAGCGGGAAGCCUGCUUCAAGAUGAGAUUUCCACGCCCCCUCGUGGGGUGAGAGGCCCCCGCCAGACUAGCGGGUUGAUAGGCCAGAGGUGGAAGCACAGCAAUGUGCUCGUGAGCCGACUGGUACUAAUGGGCCAACACUAAACAAC
rnacentral:rRNA from 1 species